rnacentral:rRNA from 1 species
AGUGAACGCUGGCGGUAUGCCUAACACAUGCAAGUCGAACGGCAGCACAGUAAGAGCUUGCCCUUACGGGUGGCGAGUGGCGGACGGGUGAGGCAUACAUCGGAAUCUACUAUUUCGUGGGGGAUAACGUAGGGAAACUUACGCUAAUACCGCAUACGAUCUACGGGUGAAAGCAGUGGUUCUUCACACCUUUGCCGAUUGAAUGAGCCGAUGUCGGAUUAGCUAGUUGGUGGGGUAAAGGCCCACCAAGGCGACGAUCCGUAGCUGGUCUGAGAGGAUGAUCAGCCACACUGGAACUGAGACACGGUCCAGACUCCUACGGGAGGCAGCAGUAGGGAAUCUUCGACAAUGGGCGAAAGCCUGAUCCAGCCAUACCGCGUGAGUGAAGAAGGCCUUCGGAUUGUAAAGCCCUUUUGUUAGGAAAGAACAGCAGCAGGUUAAUACCCCGCUGUUUUGACGGUACCCAAAGAAUAAGCACCGGCUAACUUCGUG